GGUGGUUCUAGACUUGCCAACUA
rnacentral:piRNA from 1 species